GACGAACGCUGGCGGCGUGCUUAACACAUGCAAGUCGAGCGGUAAGGCCCUUUCGGGGGUACACGAGCGGCGAACGGGUGAGUAACACGUGGGUGACCUGCCCUCAGCUCUGGGAUAAGCCUGGGAAACUGGGUCUAAUACUGGAUAUGACUCCACGGUGCAUGUCGUGGGGUGGAAAGCCUUGUGCGGCUGAGGAUGGGCCCGCGGCCUAUCAGCUUGUUGGUGGGGUGANGGCCUACCAAGGCGACGACGGGUAGCCGGCCUGAGAGGGCGACCGGCCACACUGGGACUGAGACACGACCCAGACUCCUACGGGAGGCAGCAGUGGGGAAUCUUGCGCAAUGGGCGAAAGCCUGACGCAGCGACGCCGCGUGAGGGAUGACGGCCU
rnacentral:rRNA from 1 species